GAUGAACGCUGGCGGCGUGCCUAAUACAUGCGAGUCGAGCGAACAGACGAGGAGCUUGCUCCUUUGACGUUAGCGGCGGACGGGUGAGUAACACGUAGGUAACCUACCUAUAAGACUGGGAUCACUUCGGGAAACCGGAGCUAAUACCAGAUAAUAUUUCGAACCGCAUGGUUCGAUAGUGAAAGAUGGCUUUGCUAUCACUUAUAGAUGGACCUGCGCCGUAUUAGCUAGUUGGUAAGGUAACGGCUUACCAAGGCAACGAUACGUAGCCGACCUGAGAGGGUGAUCGGCCACAUUGGAACUGAGACAGGGUCCAGACGACUACGGGAGGCAGCAGUAGGGAAUCUUCCGCAGUAGGCGAAAGCCUGACGGAGCAACGGCGCGUGAGAGAUGAAGGUCUUCGGAUCGUAAAACUCUGUUAUUAGGGAAGAACAAACGUGUAAGUAACUGUGCACGUCUUGACGGUACCUAAUCAGAAAGCCACGGCUAACUACGUG
rnacentral:rRNA from 1 species